rnacentral:rRNA from 1 species
UACGAAGGGGGCUAGCGUUGCUCGGAAUCACUGGGCGUAAAGGGCGCGUAGGCGGAUCUUUAAGUCGGGGGUGAAAGCCCAGGGCUCAACCCUGGAAUGGCCUUCGAUACUGGAGAUCUUGAGACCGGAAGAGGUAAGUGGAACUGCGAGUGUAGAGGUGAAAUUCGUAGAUAUUCGCAAGAACACCAGUGGCGAAGGCGGCUUACUGGACCGACACUGACGCUGAUGCGCGAAAGCUAGGGGAGCAAACGGG